rnacentral:rRNA from 1 species
GACGAACGCUGGCGGCGUGCCUAAUACAUGCAAGUCGAACGAACCGCGACUAAGUGCUUGCACUAAGUCAAGAUGAGUGGCGAACGGGUGAGUAACACGUGGGUAACCUACCUCAUAGUGGGGGAUAACAGUCGGAAACGACUGCUAAUACCGCAUAGGACAUAGGAUCACAUGAUCCAGUGAGGAAAGGUGGCGCAAGCUAUCGCUAAGAGAUGGACCCGCGGUGCAUUAGCUAGUUGGUAGGGUAAAGGCCUACCAAGGCGAUGAUGCAUAGCCGACCUGAGAGGGUGGUCGGCCACAUUGGGACUGAGACACGGCCCAAACUCCUACGGGAGGCAGCAGUAGGGAAUCUUCCGCAAUGGACGCAAGUCUGACGGAGCAACGCCGCGUGAGUGAAGAAGGUCUUCGGAUCGUAAAGCUCUGUUGUUAGAGAAGAACAGCGCAUAGAGUAACUGCUAUGCGUGUGACGGUAUCUAACCAGAAAGCCACGGCUAACUACGU